GAAGGCGGCCCCCUGGACAAAGACUGACGCUCAGGUGCGAAAGCGUGGGAGCAAACAGGAUUAGAUACCCUGGUAGUCCACGCCGUAAACGAUGUCGACUUGGAGGUUGUUCCCUUGAGGAGUGGCUUCCGGAGCUAACGCGUUAAGUCGACCGCCUGGGGAGUACGGCCGCAAGGUUAAAACUCAAAUGAAUUGACGGGGGCCCGCACAAGCGGUGGAGCAUGUGGUUUAAUUCGAUGCAACGCGAAGAACCUUACCUACUCUUGACAUCCAGCGAACUUAGCAGAGAUGCUUUGGUGCCUUCGGGAACGCUGAGACAGGUGCUGCAUGGCUGUCGUCAGCUCGUGUUGUGAAAUGUUGGGUUAAGUCCCGCAACGAGCGCAACCCUUAUCCUUUGUUGCCAGCGAUUCGGUCGGGAACUCAAAGGAGACUGCCGGUGAUAAACCGGAGGAAGGUGGGGAUGACGUCAAGUCAUCAUGGCCCUUACGAGUAGGGCUACACACGUGCUACAAUGGCGCAUACAAAGAGAAGCGACCUCGCGAGAGCAAGCGGACCUCACAAAGUGCGUCGUAGUCCGGAUCGGAGUCUGCAACUCGACUCCGUGAAGUCGGAAUCGCUAGUAAUCGUGGAUCAGAAUGCCACGGUGAAUACGUUCCCGGGC
rnacentral:rRNA from 1 species